rnacentral:rRNA from 1 species
CUAUUUUGUUGGUUUCUAGGACCGCCGUAAUGAUUAAUAGGGACAGUCGGGGGCAUCAGUAUUCAAUUGUCGGAGGUGAAAUCCUUGGAUUUAUUGAAGACUAACUACUGCGAAAGCAUUUGCCAAGGAUGUUUUCAUUAAUCAGGAACGAAAGUUAGGGGAUCGAAGACGAUCAGAUACCGUCGUAGUCUUAACCAUAAACUAUGCCGACUAGGGAUCGGACGGUGUUAUUUUUUGACCCGUUCGGCACCUUACGAGAAAUCAAAGUGCUUGGGCUCCAGGGGGAGUAUGGUCGCAAGGCUGAAACUUAAAGAAAUUGACGGAAGGGCACCACCAGGGGUGGAGCCUGCGGCUUAAUUUGA